GUAUUAAAAAUAAAACUGUUAUCUGUACCGAAUGCCUGCGGACGAGUAGACCUUUGACCGCCGUUUAUCUUUGAACUCGUUAAAAAUCCAUCGAAUCGUUUUGUUGGCGAGGCAAUGUCAUCGCAAACUGUAUAUGAACAUUUCAACGGAAUUCAAAUAAAAAUUAUUAUUAAAAAAAUUUACUUGUACAAAGAAAACCAACGAAAUUUGUUCAAUAAUUGUCAUAUUAAUCAUCAAUGAAGGCUAGAGGAUAAUUAAUUCCUCAUUAUGUUUUGACCGACGGACCGCGUGCAACGGCGACCGAGAGUGUAAUGGGCGUCCCCGUUCACUGAUACCACAUAGCUCAAGCACUGUGUACUCGAUAAUAAAAUAAUAAUAAAUCAGUGACGGUCAGUAACGAUGGUAUAGGAAAUCAUAACGAUUUGACCUAAGGGAUGGAGUUAUAUUGAUCUGCUGGUGGUCAGUGAACUUGUGGUCAUUGGAAUCCCGAACAUAUUAAGACACAACAAAAGAGUAAACGGGAGUCAUUAGAACAGACGUAUCGCUAAUGAGCAACCUUGACUUGGAAAUCGGUCAUCACCUCCACACACACGCCAACAAUUAAAAAUAUCAAAAAUACUACAAAAACUAUUACGUUACAAAACGUUUUCCUAGAGCGCCAAAGCUUUUGGGAAUGGAAAACAAAUGGCGAUCGACUGCCGCCGUUAGUGCCGAUUUCCACGUUCAAAACCUGAUGGGCAAACAAACGUGUACGAUUUUUAAUAUAAAUAAUACAUUACAGUGCCAUUACAGUAUCGAUGGGGCCCGCUGCAAGGAUGUUAAAAUGCCGUUGGUAUAUUUUAAAUUACAGUACGCGGCUAAUAAUACGAACGUUAUAUAAGUACAUAUUACCAACGCGACUUUUUGUCUUUAACAUUCUGUCAAAAUCGCGUAACUCGCAUCACUUUUUUUUAUAACUCACAGUUGUGAAGAUUUCACGUACAGUGGGGCUCCGAAAAGAAAAUGAACCGCCAUUUUAUCGAACACAACAUUACAUUUUACAUAGAGUUCAUUAUUUUGUAUAUUUGAUCGAAACUGGUCAAUUAUCGGCUACAGUUAAAUUUAAAAUUUAAACAAUACUGCGGAACGCAGGGAAGUUUGUGUUCAUGUUUACAAACAGCACUAACAAAGACUUUGAUUUCGGAGAAUUCUCUGAUAGUUCAUCUCGCGAUCAAAUAAAAAACAUUACAUAUAAUUUUUGAAAUUUAACACAAAAAAUCAAUAACGGCACUUCGACUACAGUUACGUUACGUUGCAAUAAUCCAAAACCGACCCGAAUAAUAGUUAUGUGCACUUACCAAAAGUUCUCAAGUAAGUGGCGUCGAUGUCGUUGCCCGGCAUGUUGUAUCUCCGCUGGUGUUGCAGAUAACGCGUCCGGUCGGCGGAGAUAAGGCGGAAAAGCGCGUAUUAAAAAAAAAUUGUAACUAUUAAUAAUAAUAAUAAUAAUAUUGGAGUUAUCGUAAUAUUUUUAUCGUAACACUUAUUAUCAACUACGGCCGAGUCUAAUGGGUAAAAACUUUCGAUAAAAACGCGUCACGCGGUACCUGCGAAUCGACGGCAACCAGUAAACGACGAACCGUCGUGGUCGUCUCCUCGGUCGUGUGUUGCAGUGAUGUGGUCGUCAAGAAAAGUUAAUCGGUCAUCGUACGACAGUGAUCUUAAACGAUUAGUUUGGACGUGAUAUCGUGUCGAAACAGUAACGAUAAUAAAUAUAUUCUAUUUUAUGACGACAACGGACGUAUAACGUUACACGCAGACGGACUAUAUUUGAUAGAUACGAAACGGUAGUAAAACGAUAUAGGUCGUUUUUCUGUUCGUUAACAAUAAUAUAAUAUAAUAAUAAAAUAAAAACACUAUGGGCAAUGGUGAGCUGUCGGGCCGGGUGAAUCACGCGCGCGCCGGGCGGAAAAGUGAACCGGUUCGGCCGAGGAGGCGGUGGCGAUACACGUUGCCCCCGCGACCGCCUGGCGAUCGUCUACCCCGCUUGCUCUUCUCGCCUUGCGGGACGGCCCACUUUUUAUCAUCACUGGUCCACGUCUGCCACCGCCUGUCUCUGCGCUUUCCGGUGCAACGUUUUACCGCAGCGAAAUAACCCGCGUUUCAUUUGUCAGUCCCCACCACUGAUGUUGGGUCUAGGGGAAGGCAAACGUUUAACGUGGUUCACCAAUGAUAACUUCCCCUAUCUAAAGCUUUAGAAAAACUUGAUUCUAUUCUUUAACUAUUACACAAUACAUUUUGGUAUCCGGAAAAAACGUCCAAGUAACAAUAGAGAAAGUUUAUAAAUAAAAAUUUAAAAGUACUUUUGUACAAAAGCUCUCAUUCAAUAUAUUGUUUCUCUUAUACUAGUCAAUCUAUGAGAAUGACAAGAUUUUGCAACCUUUUCAUAACAUGGAAUAAUAAGCAUAAAAAGAUCAAAAAUAAAUUGUUCAGACCAUAAUAUGUUAAACAUAGCUGACCCAUCGCUCUAUAAAGGGGACAAUUGCCCCUAUCCCAAUCGAAGUAUCACGAUAUUCCAGUGAAAUAUUACAUUAGGCAGUGUCAAAUACACCGUCCCUAAUAUUCGCUAUACUGUGACGUCUUAAAGGUUGAGUAACACUUGUUUAGUGAGUAAUGUCAGUAAAUUAGGUUAAAGAUAAUUGUUGAUAAAGUAUGUUCACAUUAUUAUAAAUAAAAAUAUUUUACAUUUAAUAGAUUCUAUUUUUAAAAGUAAA